CGCGUAGGCGGCGAUGCAAGUCGCAUGUGAAAUCCCCAGGCUUAACUUGGGGGUGCAUGCGAAACUGCAUGGCUUGAGUAUGGCAGAGGAAAGUGGAAUUCCUAGUGUAGCGGUGAAAUGCGUAGAUAUUAGGAGGAACACCAGUGGCGAAGGCGACUUUCUGGGCCACAACUGACGCUGAGGCGCGAAAGCGUGGGGAGCAAACA
rnacentral:rRNA from 1 species